rnacentral:rRNA from 1 species
GUACACUCCUGCGGGAGGCAGCAGUGGGGAAUAUUGCACAAUGGGCGCAAGCCUGAUGCAGCGACGCCGCGUGGGGGAUGAAGGCCUUCGGGUUGUAAACUCCUUUCGCUAGGGACGAAGCUUUUUUGUGACGGUACCUAGAUAAGAAGCACCGGCUAACUACGUGCCAGCAGCCGCGGUAAUACGUAGGGUGCGAGCGUUGUCCGGAAUUACUGGGCGUAAAGGGCUCGUAGGUGGUUUGUCGCGUCGUCUGUGAAAUUCUGGGGCUUAACUCCGGGCGUGCAGGCGAUACGGGCAUAACUUGAGUGCUGUAGGGGUAACUGGAAUUCCUGGUGUAGCGGUGAAAUGCGCAGAUAUCAGGAGGAACACCGAUGGCGAAGGCAGGUUACUGGGCAGUUACUGACGCUGAGGAGCGAAAGCAUGGGUAGCGAACAGGAUUAGAAACCCGGGUAGUCCCAUGAU